rnacentral:rRNA from 1 species
CGGCCGGCCGAAAAGGAGACGACCACCAACACCAACUGGGAGUGGAAGUGGAGGCCUGCUUGCUUUCGGUGGGGAGCCGGAGAGCGAGUCUCCCCCUUUCGGUGCCGCUGUCGGGGUUCUAAUUCGGCCCCGCUCUGCUCUGCUCUGCUCCGGCGGCGGGGUUUAAUUCGGCGACGGCAGCGGCCUCUGGUGGCGGGGGAAGAGCAGGGAGAUGGUGGCGGCGGCGCCGUGCGCCGCGCGGAGGUCGUUCAGGGACUCGCUCAAGGUGCUGGAGGCGGACAUCCAGCACGCCAACACCCUGGCGUCCGAGUGCUCGCGGGACUACGACGGGGCGUGCCUGCAGAUGCGCAUGUCCUACAGCCCCGCCGCGCGCCUCUUCCUCUUCCUCCUGCAGUGGACCGACUGCAGCCUCGCCGGCGCCCUCGGCCUCCUCAGGAUCCUCAUCUACAAGGUCUAUGUGGACGGCACAACAACCAUGUCCACCCACGAAAGGAAGGCCAGCAUCAGGGAAUUCUACGCUGUGAUAUUCCCCUCCCUCAUGCAACUGGAGCACGGGAUAAGCGACUCCGACGACCGGAGGCAGAGGGCGGCGUGCUCAGAGCGAUACAGGAGGAGAGACGAGCCAGAGGACAGCAAGAGGCCGGUCUCCGAGAUCGACGCCGAGAUAGAGGAGGAGUGCGGGAUCUGCAUGGAGCUCAACAGCAGGGUCGUGCUGCCCAACUGCAGCCAUGACAUGUGCAUCAAGUGCUACCGUCAAUGGCGCUCGAGAUCUCAGUCAUGCCCCUUCUGCCGAGACAGCCUCAAGAGAGUAAACUCCGGCGAUCUAUGGAUGCUCACCGACCAGCGCGACGUCGUCGACAUGGCGACGGUGACGAGGGAGAACAUCAGGCGCCUCUUCACGUACAUCGAGAAGCUGCCUCUCGUCACGCUGGACAACAUCUUCGAUGCCUAUGAUUCCCAUAGGAUGUUCCUUGUCCUAGGAUGUGGCUGACCAUGGAUGGAGCAGCCUGACAGAGAGACCCUGUGUGAGCACUCUAGGGUCCUCGGGUUUUGUAAAUACAUGUACAGAUUUACAGUUUGCAUGGAAAUGUUCAGGGAUAGCCAGAAUAACAAUAUGUUUCGACCCGGAAAAGAAAAGAAUAGCAAUAUGUUUGCAGUAGAGUAAUGCCUGUACAUAUUUGUAAUCUGGAUGGGAACAGACAUAUGGUGCAUGUACUACCUCCGUUCUGAAUUAUAAGAUGUUUUGCAUAUUUUAG